AGUGUGGCUAUUGCACGCGUGCGCAGAGAGGACUCUGACGCUUGGUCCUAGCCGCCAAUUUCUCAAAACUCAGCUGCUAAUCUGCUCGGUGCUCACCAAUGUAUGCUCUGAAGAAUCCUGAAGUUGUGUAAAUGGACUCUCCUCAAAAGGUAACACACUACUUAAAGUUGACAAUUUAUAUGAUGGUCCUCUUCAAAUAAGGAAGGACUGGGCAUGUAAUCUCCACACUGGGAAGGCCAAAGCUGAAGGAUCACUUGAAUACAGAAUUCCAGACCAGUUUGAGACUCCAUCUCAAAAAAAAAAAAAAAAAAAGAGGAGGAUACUGGAGAUGUAACUCAGCGGUAGAGUGCUUAUCUAACACAUGUAAAACCCUGGGCUCAAUACCCACUAACCCGAAAAAGAAAAGGAAAAAGAAAAUUCUAUGACAGACGAUAUGUUCCUAUUUAUGACUUGGAAAAUGUCACUUUAGCCCUUGAGCUUCCCUGAUUAUUCCCCUUACGCCUUGAAUCCCUUAUUAAAUGAUUAUUUUCCUCCAGGACAGAAACAAUGCUUUAGUAAAAUGCAAAACUUUGAAAUCUUUUGAAACUGUGAGACAAAUACAGACAUGUGGAGAAAAUGGACCUACAACAAAUAUUUUUGCACUCUUCACAAAUAUGUAAUCACUUUUGUUAGUUUGUGAAAAACACAUAUUGUGCAGCUUUGUUUAGACUUCCAGAUUAGCACAAAUCAGUGUAAUAGCAUAUAAAAGAAAGAAUAUUGGGGUGAGUAGAAAAUUGGCCUUUUGAUUUAGUUUGUUAUGUAUUAGCCUGAUGAACUCAGGAAGAACUCUCCAGACAUCUCUGGAAAUGCAGUUUUCUCAUGGUCAGUUUGAUUUAGAGAUAAUAAAUAUACCAGCUACCAUCAACUCUACAAGAUAAUGGAAAAGGUCAAAUGUGAAAUGCAAUUAAGUAUCUGUUCAAAAAACAACCCUCAGUAAAUUUUCUAAUGACAUUUUAAGCUUCAGAUUUUGUUACUGAUAAGCUUCUAGGUACUGAGUGACCAUUUUAAAAAUCAAUCAGUUCUGAAUCUUUGCCAGUUUGUGAGGAAGGGUGAAAGCUAGGAGGAGCAAGUAACCUAGCAUGACCAACAGGGGGAGUCAGGUUUUAUAGAAUCCUUUUCCCUCACUUCUAUGUGCGAUGGCCACUUUGAGACACUUUGGCCCUCAGUCACCUGGGUAAAAUGUGAGUAGAGGAAUAACAGUAAUAACAACUGACAGCUACUGAGUACAUUCUAUGGGCUGUGUACUAUUUGAAGCACAUUCCAUGUACCCAGCCAUUUGAUCACUGCCACCACCCUAUGAGAGAGGGACUGUCAGUAUCUCUGUUUCAUGAGUGAGGAAACAAACACAGUUUAGUUAUUUGCAUAAGGCACCCCAUAGCAAGCAGGGAAGCCUAGGAUCAAUCCCAUAUAAUCUAGCUCUAGGUCUAUGCCCUCAGUGAUGCUGGCCAGCUAAUUCUCUGUAGAGUUAUUGUGAGGAUUCAGUGAAAUAAUGCACAUAAAAUACUCAGCAUAGUUCCUAGUGCAGAACUCUUAUGAUUAGUGCAUUGUUGUAAGCUAUAAGUAGAGUAAUACCUAUAGGUCUAACGCACAGUUCCUGACACAAAGAAAAUGCUCUAGAAAUUGGUUCCCUUGCCUACAGACAUAGGGGAGAUAGAGAAUAUGUGCCACUCUGCAAGGAGAUGCAGGAAUGCUCCUUUAUCCAUGGUAGUUUAUCCUGAGGAUAAGAAAUUGGCAGUGGGUGUGGUACCACACGCCUGUAAUCUCAGCACUCUGGGAAGCUGAGGUAGGAGGAUCAUGUUUGAACUCAGCCUAGGUAAUUUAGCAACUUUGUGAGACCCUGUUUCAGAAUAAAAAGGGCUAGGGAGGUAGCUCAGUGUGAAUAUCUUGAGUUCAAUCUCCAGUACUACAAAAAAAAAAAAAAAGAAGAAGAAAAAGAAAGAAAAGUUGCACAGCCUUUCAAAUAUGUGUUUCCUACAGACAACUUCAUGUCUCUACUCCUGCUUUUCUGAUUGAUAUGGUUUAAGUUUAAAAUGGCCCCUAAGAAUCCAGAGGUGGUGACACACUCCUGUAACCCCAGCACUUGGGAGGCUGAGGCAGGCAGGUCACUAUGAGUUCAAGAACAGUUCGGGCUACAAAGUAAGUUCAAGGCCACCCCAAACUGCAUAGUAAAACUCUGUCUCAAAAAGACUAAAUAAAUAAAUAAAUAUUUAAUAAAUAUUUUUUAAAUAAAUAAAAUGACCCCCAUGUGCUUGAAAGGUGAUUGAAUUAUUGUCAUACUAUAGUACCCCUAAAUUGCUGUUAGGAGAUGGGGUCUAGUUGGAAAAGGUAGGCCAUUGGAGUGUGAUUGGAAACAGUGCUUCCAUGUCUGCUUCCUGGCUACUAGGAUGGGAGCAGCCCUCCACCAGGCUGUUUCUGCUAUGCAUCCAGCUGUGGACUGAAACUUCUAAAACAGUGAACCUAUCCUUUUCAUUGUGGGUGUUGAUUCUUAGGUUCCAGUGAUAAGAAAAGUGAUUAAGACACUAAUGUCUCUUCUUUAUUGCCUUUAUGAUCUUCUGAGAAGAAAGGUUUCCUUGGGCUGGUAACAGCUUGAACCUAAUGUCAGUGUCACAGAAGGUGGAAUUGGCAUGAAAUGCUACCAGUAUUCAUGCAUCUUCUAAGGCCGUUUCACUUCCGUUAACUGGGAUGAAACACAUUUGCAAGACCAGGGACUGGAAACUUUUCGUCCUAUGACUGAUUCCUAUGUCAGCCAUCCAGGAUCCACCACACACACACACACACACACACACACACACACACACACACACACAUCUGCCCAUAUACACGCUCUCAUAGUCUGUGACCUCUCAUAUAUUCAGUGCAAUAUAUUCAUAUAUUCAUUCACCCACUCCAGACGUAUGUCUGUGUCUGGGAUCAUUUGCAUACAACACAAAGCGCACAGCCAGUCUUUACCUCCCCAGAGUCCAUUCAUCCAUUCUAGCAACACGUAUAUGAAGAAUCCUAUGCAUCAGGCAUCAUGCUGGGUACUUAAGCAUUAUUUAGCCACUAAAUUUCACCCACAUCUAUUUCCCCACACUCAUAGACUUCCUACACUGUAAUGUCUUUAUGUACACCUCACUACAUAUAAUGUUCAGCAUAUAUAUAUAUAUGCCCUUAAAAACAUUUUUCAUUCAUAUUCCUAAUGUGAUCUUGCUAUGUUUAGAAUGCGCUCAGAUUUUGCUUUGCCAUUUUUCUAUUUGUUUCUUUAUCGCUAAAAUGGCAGGCUUAACCUAAAUGUGAUAGCUUGUAAAAUAGCACAAUUUGGGGGCUGGGGAUUUAGCUCAGUGGCAUAAGCACCUGCCUUGCAAGCAGGCGGUCGUGAGUUCGAUCCCCAGUACCGAUAAAAAUGAAAAAGACAAAAAAAAAAAAAAUAGCACAAUUUGGGGACAGGAUCUGACUUUGCUUGCCUGCUUUCUGUCUUCCAGGAAAAAGCUAUGUAUCUUGACCAGGAUGGGUAGGAAAAGGAAUUGGUGAGCAGGAGUAGCUCAGAUUUCUCAGUUGCAAAAGGUCUGUAGGCUGUAGAAUCCCCCUGAUCAGGAUGUCAGCAAGGAAAAGCAUGGAUCCACACACCCAACCCUAAAAUCAGCUCUUCCCAAAUUGAGAAAACCCACAAAUAACCAGCCACAGUUCGGGAAGCUGACAUCCUUCCUGGCAAACUGCAUGGGUGGUAACCUGGGUUUCUAGGUCCUGCUUUCCUUUUUUAUCUGUUUCUAACCUCCCACCUCCUCACAGGGCCCAGUUCUGUCCCUUUCAUACCCAGUUUUUAUGCAAGUGUAAAACUUCUUGGCACAUCCUAGAGCCAAAAAUUCAGAAUUAAAGGAGCCCUCUUCUAACCAGAACACCAGAAACAGUAAAACCUGGUGGAGAGGUACUGACCCAGGGAGUCAAGGAUGCUUUCAAGUUUCUCUAAAUACAGGUACAAACAGGAAGGGGCAGUCAUUUUGUGGAACAGCUAAGGGAGACACCCAUCCUUACCAUUCUGGCAGACUGGGGGCUCUUCCACCAGGGCUAUGGGGAUCAUGAGGCCAUUGCAUGGUGGAAAGAGUAGGCCAAAUGGUAUAACUGCCUGAGCCACUUCUAUGAGGGAUAAAGUUCAGGUGGCCCUGUUCAAAGGGUUGCUUCCCUGGAUGCCUCAAAAUGAUGAUUUGAGAUGCUGAGGAGAGAAUAGUUAGUUUUACAUUUCACAACAUUAGAUCUUGGCUUAUGGUCAGCUGGGGAGUUAAAUCUUCAACACCAGGAAGGCUAGAAGCUGGUACUGAAAUAAAAGUACCAGGACAAACAAUUUAUAAAUUUCAAGCCUAUCCCCCAAGAAAUAUGAAAAUGAGCACAGUGUGCUAGAUACAAUGGAAGAUAAGAGAUUCCCCUUAGCCGGAGACAACCAGUAAGGACAAGAUGUUAAAGAGAGAUUAGAGCUUUAUUGAGACAUUCUCCCUGAUGAAAUCAGAAUCGAAAGAACACUGGAAAGGGUUGGCCACUGUUUGGGCACAAAUACAGAUUCCCACCUCAGGGAAUCUCGGUAUCCUAAGUUCCUACAAUUCCCAGCCCCCUAUUCCUAAAAAGAACCCUCCUUGAAAUCUACCCCCACAAACCUGGGAAAAGAAUAGGGCACUUAGAACCUGUGCUAAUUGACUAACAGGCUUGUGGGCAAUAGAAGUAAGUCAAAACAAAGCAUGAGAAGAGAAACGGAAUGGAGAGAGUAGGAGGAACAAGAAAAAGAAAAGAGAGGAACGAAAAAUCCAAAGAGGGGACAUACUGAUAAGGUAGAGCCCCCAAAGUACAAAUAUUUCAUUACUUUAUUAGACUCAUUCCACCCACUUCCCCAAAGCAAUGGUGACAUUGACAGUUGUGACAAGGCCCAUACAGUUCUGCAUUUUUUAUUUCCCUGACUGCACUGAAAAAAAGAAAAAGAAACAGAUACACCAAAAGCCACAGAAGGGCAUGAGGAACUCAGAGGAAAGAGGGACGGUCCCCCAAGAGGGCAAAGUAAUAGAGAAAUGAGGCGAGGGGGUUGGUUAUUCAUUUUAAUGGGAAGAAAAGUCCAAAACAGAUUGUAGUAGCUUCUCUGCCCCAGCUACCAGGCUCUGUGGACACCCCUUACAGAACCUGCUUUUCUUUUCCAGUUGUCUUGCUCCUCAGAAAGAAUAUCCUGAUGGUUUUGGAGACUUUGACUGUCUUGUGGGAGGUUCUGGUCAGGGGAGGUUUCACGGAGGGCCAUUCACAAAGCCUCCUGCAGCAGGUACUGGACUGCUAGGAAUUUUGAGAAACAAACU